rnacentral:rRNA from 1 species
UACAGGGGGUGCAAACGUUGCUCGGAAUCAUUGGGCGUAAAGCGCACGUAGGCGGUUCGUUAUGUCGGAUGUGAAAGCCCUUGGCUUAACCGAGGAAGUGCAUCCGAAACUGGCGAGCUAGAGUACGAAAGAGGAUCGCGGAAUUCCCGGUGUAGAGGUGAAAUGCGUAGAUAUCAGGAGGAACACCGGUGGCGAAGGCGGCUAUCUGGACAGAAACUGACGCUGAGGCGCGAAAGCGUGGGGAGCAAACAGG